AGGAUACCCACCACGAGAUGGUCACAAGCAGUGGUUUCACUGAGUUGUGCCUGAUCGCUAAGAUCCAACAAACGGAGGAUACCAUCCCCAAAGAACAUCAGAUCCUUAUCACCAGGAUCCAAGAAUUAGAGGACAACAAAACACUCCUGGAAAACAUCUGCAUGUACUUAAAUAAAUAUAAAUAAUAAGACCGGCAGACGGAGAUGGACAAAAUGAGGCAUAAGAUGCAGGACAAGGAGAUAAAGAAAUAGGAGAGAGAAGAAAAAGCAGACCAUCCAGGACGUCAACAUCAACGUGCCUGAGACUGGACACCUGUAAGAACACCUUCCUUCACCUCCCACUCCAUCCUACCUCAUCUAUCUACCCUGAAAAAAAAAAAUCUAAAAAAAAAAAAAAAAGAGAUCUGAAAAAAAAGAGAUCUAAAUAAGAAAGAUCUAAAAAAAAAAAAAGAUCCCAGAGGGAUUCUCUGGCUGCUUAUUUUUUUUACAACCUAAUCAGGUUUGCACAUUUCCCUUACCUCAUUUCUGCCUUAUUUUUAUUUCAUGUACAUUUAUUUAAAUAUUGUUUUGUUAUUUUUUAUUUUUUAAUUGGUCGGCUUUAAUUAACUGUACUGUUAAUUUAUAUUGCACACAUUUCAUUUCUUUUUUUUUUACAACCUGCCGAGAGGAUACCCACCACGAGAUGGUCACAAGCAGUGGUUUCACUGAGUUGUGCCUGAUCGCUAAGAUCCAACAAACGGAGGAUACCAUCCCCAAAGAACAUCAGAUCCUUAUCACCAGGAUCCAAGAAUUAGAGGACAACAAAACAGUCCUUGAAAACAUCUGCCUGUACUUAAAAAAAAAAAAAAAAAAAAGACCGGCAGACGGAGAUGGACAAAAUGAGGCAUAAGAUGCAGGACAAGGAGACAAAGAAAUAGGAGAGAGAAGAAAAAGCAGACCAUCCAGGACGUCAACAUCAACGUGCCUGAGACUGGACACCUGUAAGAACACCUUCCUUCACCUCCCACUCCAUCCUAUCUCAUCCAUCUACCCUGAAAAAAAAAUUCUGAAAAAAGAAUACCAUCCCCAAAGAACAUCAGAUCCGUAUCACCAGGAUCCAAGAAUUAGAGGACAACAAAACAGUCCUUGAAAACAUCUGCCUGUACUUAAAAAAAAAAAAAAAAGACCGGCAGACGGAGAUGGACAAAAUGAGGCAUAAGAUGCAGGACAAGGAGACAAAGAAAUAGGAGAGAGAAGAAAAAGCAGACCAUCCAGGACGUCAACAUCAACGUGCCUGAGACUGGACACCUGUAAGAACACCUUCCUUCACCUCCCACUCCAUCCUACCUCAUCCAUCUACCCUGAAAAAAAAGAAAUUUAAAAAAAACUAAAAAAGAUCUAAAAAAAAAAAAAAAAAAAAAACAAGAUCUGAAAAAAAAGAGAGAUCUAAAUAAGAAAGAUCUAAAAAAAAAAAAAAUAUCCCAGAAGGAUUCUCUGGCUGCUUAUUUUUUUUACAACCUAAUCAUGUUUGCACAUUUCCCUUACCUCAUUUUCAUUUCAUGUACAUUUAUUUAAAUAUUGUUUUGUUAUUUUUUAAUUUUUUAAUUGGUCGGCUUUAAUUAACUGUACUAUUAAUUUAUAUUGCACACAUUUAAUUUCAUUUUUUUUUUACAACCUGCCGAGAGAAUACCCACCACGAGAUGGUCACAAGCAGUGGUUUCACUGAGUUGUGCCUGAUCGCUAAGAAUUAGAGGACAACAAAACAGUCCUUGAAAACAUCUGCAUGUUCUUAAAAAAAAAAAAAAAAGACCGGCAGACGGAGAUGGACAAAAUGAGGCAUAAGAUGCAGGACAAGGAGAUAAAGAAAUAGUAGAGAGAAGAAAAAGCAGACCAUCCAGGACGUCAACAUCAACGUGCCUGAGACUGGACACCUGUAAGAACACCUUCCUUCACCUCCCACUCCAUCCUACCUCAUCUAUCUACCCUGAAAAAAAAAAAUCUAAAAAAAAAAAAAAAAGAUCUAAAAAAAAAAAAAAAAAAAAAGAGAUCUGAAAAAAAAGAGAUCUAAAUAAGAAAGAUCUAAAAAAAAAAAAAGAUCCCAGAGGGAUUCUCUGGCUGCUUAUUUUUUUUACAACCUAAUCAGGUUUGCACAUUUCCCUUACCUCAUUUCUGCCUUAUUUUUAUUUCAUGUACAUUUAUUUAAAUAUUGUUUUGUUAUUUUUUAUUUUUUAAUUGGGCGGCUUUGAUUAACUGUACUGUUAAUUUAUAUUGCACACAUUUCAUUUCAUUUUUCUCUGACAACCUGCCGAGAGGAUACCCACCACGAGAUGGUCACAAGCAGUGGUUUCACUGAGUUGUGCCUGAUCGCUAAGAUCCAACAAACGGAGGAUACCAUCCCCAAAGAACAUCAGAUCCUUAUCACCAGGAUCCAAGAAUUAGAGGACAACAAAACAGUCCUUGAAAACAUCUGCAUGUACUUAAAAAAAAAAAAAAAAAGACCGGCAGACGGAGAUGGACAAAAUGAGGCAUAAGAUGCAGGACAAGGAGAUAAAGAAAUAGGAGAGAGAAGAAAAAGCAGACCAUCCAGGACGUCAACAUCAACGUGCCUGAGACUGGACACCUGUAAGAACACCUUCCUUCACCUCCCACUCCAUCCUAUCUCAUCCAUCUACCCUGAAAAAAAAACAAUUCUGAAAAAAAGAAUACCAUCCCCAAAGAACAUCAGAUCCUUAUCGCCAGGAUCCAAGACUUAGAGGACAACAAAACAGUCCUUGAAAACAUCUGCCUGUACUUAAAAAAAAAAAAAAAGACCGGCAGACGGAGAUGGACAAAAUGAGGCAUAAGAUGCAGGACAAGGAGACAAAGAAAUAGGAGAGAGAAGAAAAAGCAGACCAUCCAGGACGUCAACAUCAACGUGCCUGAGACUGGACACCUGUAAGAACACCUUCCUUCACCUCCCACUCCAUCCUAUCUCAUCCAUCUACCCUGAAAAAAAAAUUCUGAAAAAAAGAAUACCAUCCCCAAAGAACAUCAGAUCCGUAUCACCAGGAUCCAAGAAUUAGAGGACAACAAAACAGUCCUUGAAAACAUCUGCCUGUACUUAAAAAAAAAAAAAAAAGACCGGCAGACGGAGAUGGACAAAAUGAGGCAUAAGAUGCAGGACAAGGAGACAAAGAAAUAGAAGAGAGAAGAAAAAGCAGACCAUCCAGGACGUCAACAUCAACGUGCCUGAGACUGGACACCUGUAAGAACACCUUCCUUCACCUCCAACUCCAUCCUACCUCAUCCAUCUACCUUGAAAAAAAAGAAAUUCUGAAAAAAACUCAAAAAGAUCUAAAAAAAAAAAAAAGAAAGAGAUCUGAAAAAAGAGAUCUAAAUAAGAAAGAUCUAAAAAAAAAAAAAAGAUCCCUCUCUGGCUGCUUAUUUUUUUUUACAACCUAAUCAGGUUUGCACAUUUCCCUUACCUCAUUUCUGCCUUAUUUUGUACAUUUAAGUAAAUAUUGUUUUGUUAGUUUUUAUUUUUUUAUUGGUCAGCUUUAAUUAACUGUACUGUUAAUUUCUAUUGCACACAUUUCAUUUCAUUUUUUUUUUACAACCUGCCUAGAGGAUACCCACCACGAGAUGGUUACAAGCAGUGGUUUCACUGAGUUGUGCCUGAUCUCUAAGAUCCAACAAACAGAGGAUACUAUCCCCAAAGAACAUCAGAUCUUAAUCCCCAGGAUCCAAGAAUUAGAGGACAAAAGAGUCCUUGAAUACAUCUGCAUGUACUUAAAAAAAAAAAAAAAAAGACCGGCAGACGGAGAUGGACAAAAUGAGGCGCAAGAUACAGGACAAGGAGACAAAGAAAUAGGAGAGAGAAGAGAAGAAAAAGGAGACCAUCCGGGACGUCAACAUCAACGUGCCUGAGACAGGACACCUGUAAGAACACCUUCCUUCACCUCCCACUCCAUCCUACCUCAUCCUUCUCAAAUAACAAUAAAGGAAAUGUUUACCCCAAUCUGCUGUCUACUGGUUAUCACUAGAUUGUACUUACAGACCAACUUAUUUUACUGUUCACUACAGUGAUUCACUUAUUUUCACUUAUUACACAUGUAGACAUUAGUAAUUGAAAUAUAUUAACUUGGUUGUUGUUGUUGUUCCUGUUUAUGUUGCUGCUGCUUUUCCAUGAUGUUGAGUACAAUCUUCUCAAUAGAAGCUUGUGUCAGCAUCUGAACAGGUGGAGGUGGGUGAACAAUAGCAACAGACAUCGUAACAACUGGCACACUAGUGGUCUCACUCACCUCUGUCAGAGAGUUUCUGCCUCUCUUACAGUUUUUCUGGACUGACGUUUAAAGAGGAACUGGUGUUCAACAAUUUGCUGAGGUGCUUUACAUAUUGUAGAAUAUGUAGUUUUGUUGUUGGGUGGAGCAUGCUGUUGGGGUCUGUACAGGAGUUGUGAACUAGAGCAGCGUAGUCCUGGUCCACAAGCUUCAGUGUGUCUUUCUGCUCACGGGGUUUGUUGAGCAGCUGGUCGAUAACUGCCAGCGACGGCGGACGUGGAGUUUCUACAGGAACAAAAGACUGAGUAUAAUAAGUCAUUCUGACCUAUAGAAUCAAAUACUUGUAUAAUAAAUAUAAACUUUCAUUAAAAUCUCAUGAAAGACUGGUAUUUGUAUGUGAAUGUUUAUUCAAUAACACCCUAAAUAUAUUUUCACAUCUUGUAAAAAAAUGGAAAAGUGACACAAACGUAUGGAGAAAACUGGAACAACCUUGAUGGUGCCAGUGAGGAUGACAGAGGAACCUCCGACUCGGUGGCGAGUGGAUCACUUUGAGGAGGUGGAUUCGGGGCCUGGGUGUGAUCUGUCUUGCUGUAUAUAUUGAUAUUAUUUACCUGUCUACCCACUGUUAUUGUGCCCAUACCUUAUGCAGUCUCCAUUGAUGCCUAAUAAACAUUGAUACAAGUAGGCUAUGGUUAAAGUGGUGAACUUAUAAAGUCUUAAAAGUUUUGUUUUCCCUUCUCAACACAUUAUGCAUUUGAAGGUGGAGUAAGCAAGAGUUUUUUUUAUAUAUAUACACACUGUUACGGCUGUCACCGUGGUCUGUAUUUCUGUCUUGUCUGUACCAAGUAGGCUGUGCGGCCCUGUGGACUGAAGCCCCGCCUACUUCCUGGUUUCGGUGGAGCCCCACAGGUUCACUCCAGCUCCACCCAUUCGUCCACCCUGUCCCAGCGCGCCCAAUGGCAGGUCACCAUCGCAGCCUUACCUCCAGCUCUUAAGGAGAGCCCACCAGUGGCUCGGGGUGGCUUGUCUUGGCCAGUGGACUUGUGUGCCUUCUGUGUUUGUAAUUGAGUGCAACUGGGUAGAGAACUGUGCUUUGGUUCUGUGUGUUUUUGCCAGCACGGAGCUGACAAAAGGGGGUGAGUUAGGGCCAGAGUCUAUACUGAUUUCACCACACGUAGUUCUGUGUUUGUUAGCUUCAUAGGUGUAGUGGGUGCUGUGCUCUUUGUGUUUUUUAUGGUAAGCGCCUACUGUUUGUUUUAACGUAUAUUCAGGCAUAGUUCUCCUUUUGGGGAUCUCUUUUAUUUUACUUAGUUUGUCUUUUCACAGCACCCUCAUCCACCCUCCUUUUGUUUGUUGUUACGUGCCUGUUUACCUCUGGUUGCCAAUAAAUACUACCCUUUUACACCCGACCAGGUUCUGCCUAUAUGUUUAUGGUCCCCGCACCCCUAGACCAUCCAGGGGGUCGUAACACACACACAUUACGUUUUCUUGAGGUGCAAGGAAAUACAAAAAUGAAGAGAUUAGCAACAUGUUUUUGUACCAUUCAGGUUGCUUCCCAUUCCAGAACAUCUUUCAGAUGUGCAUUUUCACUUUUGAGAGACUGAACUUCAUUUCGCAACUCCUGCAAAUUUCUUUGCAUUUGUUCAAUUUUUUUUCUCUCCCACAUCUGUUCGUCCAGUUGCUUUCUAAAUUCAGCAGCACUCUAUGAGAAAGAGAAAUACAGAGAAGAACAACAGCUAAUUGUUAUAUAACUUUAACUUUUGUAAAUGGUUGAUUCUGAUUUUCUGGGAGGAUGUCAUAAGAAAUGUAAGAGGAAGGUAGCAAGACGUCUACGGCACAGACGUCUACACCACACACCGGAUGUCAUCAUUUAGGCUACCUUUUUCUUUGAGGCUGGUACUUUGUCGUCUUCA
ensembl:lncRNA